GCCCGUGUGGCGGAAUCGGUAGACGCAGCGGACUUAAAAUCCGUGGGUUUUGCGACCUUGGGAGUUCAAGUCUCCUCAUGGGCACCA
rnacentral:tRNA from 1 species